rnacentral:rRNA from 1 species
UAUUUGAUGGAGAGUUUGAUUCUGGCUCAGAACGAACGCUGGCGGCGUGGAUAAGACAUGCAAGUCGAACGGGAGAAUUGCUAGCUUGCUAAUAAUUCUCUAGUGGCGCACGGGUGAGUAACACGUGAGUAACCUGCCCCCAAGAGUGGGAUAGCCCCGGGAAACUGGGAUUAAUACCGCAUAAAAUCGCAAGAUUAAAGCAGCAAUGCGCUUGGGGAUGGGCUCGCGUCCUAUUAGUUAGUUGGUGAGGUAACGGCUCACCAAGGCGAUGACGGGUAGCCGGUCUGAGAGGAUGUCCGGCCACACUGGAACUGAGACACGGUCCAGACACCUACGGGUGGCAGCAGUCGAGAAUCAUUCACAAUGGGGGAAACCCUGAUGGUGCGACGCCGCGUGGGGGAAUGAAGGUCUUCGGAUUGUAAACCCCUGUCAUGUGGGAGCAAAUUAAAAAGAUAGUACCACAAGAGGAAGAGACGGCUAACUCUGUGCCAGCAGCCGCGGUAAUACAGAGGUCUCAAGCGUUGUUCGGAAUCACUGGGCGUAAAGCGUGCGUAGGCGGUUUCGUAAGUCGUGUGUGAAAGGCGGGGGCUCAACCCCCGGACUGCACAUGAUACUGCGAGACUAGAGUAAUGGAGGGGGAACCGGAAUUCUCGGUGUAGCAGUGAAAUGCGUAGAUAUCGAGAGGAACACUCGUGGCGAAGGCGGGUUCCUGGACAUUAACUGACGCUGAGGCACGAAGGCCAGGGGAGCGAAAGGGAUUAGAUACCCCUGUAGUCCUGGCAGUAAACGGUGCACGCUUGGUGUGCGGGGAAUCGACCCCCUGCGUGCCGGAGCUAACGCGUUAAGCGUGCCGCCUGGGGAGUACGGUCGCAAGAUUAAAACUCAAAGAAAUUGACGGGGACCCGCACAAGCGGUGGAGUAUGUGGCUUAAUUCGAUGCAACGCGAAGAACCUUACCUGGGCUUGACAUGUAAUGAACAACAUGUGAAAGCAUGCGACUCUUCGGAGGCGUUACACAGGUGCUGCAUGGCCGUCGUCAGCUCGUGUCGUGAGAUGUUUGGUUAAGUCCAGCAACGAGCGCAACCCCUGUUGCCAGUUACCAGCACGUAAAGGUGGGGACUCUGGCGAGACUGCCCAGAUCAACUGGGAGGAAGGUGGGGACGACGUCAGGUCAGUAUGGCCCUUAUGCCCAGGGCUGCACACGUACUACAAUGCCCAGUACAGAGGGGGCCGAAGCCGCGAGGCGGAGGAAAUCCUAAAAACUGGGCCCAGUUCGGACUGUAGGCUGCAACCCGCCUACACGAAGCCGGAAUCGCUAGUAAUGGCGCAUCAGCUACGGCGCCGUGAAUACGUUCCCGGGUCUUGUACACACCGCCCGUCACAUCAUGGAAGCCGGUCGCACCCGAAGUAUCUGAAGCCAACCGCAAGGAGGCAGGGUCCUAAGGUGAGACUGGUAACUGGGAUGAAGUCGUAACAAGGUAGCCGUAGGGGAACCUGCGGCUGGAUCACCUCCUUUCUA